CCUACGGGAGGCAGCAGUGAGGAAUAUUGGUCAAUGGGCGGGAGCCUGAACCAGCCAAGUCGCGUGAGGGAAGAAGGUACAGCGUAUCGUAAACCUCUUUUGUCAGGGAACAAAGGCGGGGACUAGUCCCCGGAUGAGGGUACCUGAAGAAAAAGCAUCGGCUAACUCCGUGCCAGCAGCCGCGGUAAUACGGAGGAUGCGAGCGUUAUCCGGAUUUAUUGGGUUUAAAGGGUGCGCAGGGGGCCUGUUAAGUCAGGGGGAAAAGCCCGGGGCGAAACCCCGGCGAGCCGUUGAAACUGGCGGGCGGGAGUUGGAGAGAAGUAGGCGGAAUGCGCGGUGUAGCGGUGAAAUGCUUAGAUAUCGCGCAGAACCCCGAUUGCGAAGGCAGCGUACCGGCUCCACACUGACGCUGAGGCACGAAAGCGUGGGUAUCGAACAGGAUUAGAUACCCUUGUAGUC
rnacentral:rRNA from 1 species